UGAAUAUUAUGGAAGAUGGGUUCGGUUAUAUUUUCCUAUAACUGAUUAAAAGAGAAGCUGGGUGAAAAUCCCACACGGUCCCGCCGCUGUAAGAGAGGAGUUUUCUUCUAAGAUGCCACUGUUUUUAUGGGAAGGCAGAAGAAAAUAAUGAUACUUGAGUCAGAACACCUGCCUAUUUUUUACGCUAUAAU
rnacentral:ncRNA from 15 species